UGCAGUCGAGCGCAUCCUUCGGGGUGAGCGGCAGACGGGUGAGUAACGCGUGGGAAUCUACCCCUCACUACGGAAUAGCUCCGGGAAACUGGAAUUAAUACCGUAUACGUCCUUCCAUAGGGAUAUGGCUGGAGAAAGAUUUAUCGGUGAUGGAUGAGCCCGCGUAGGAUUAGCUGGUUGGUGGGGUAAUGGCCUACCAAGGCGACGAUCCUUAGCUGUUCUAAGAGGAUGAUCAGCCACAUUGGGACUGAGACACGGCCCAAACUCCUACGGGAGGCAGCAGUGGGGAAUAUUGGACAAUGGGCGCAAGCCUGAUCCAGCCAUGCCGCGUGAGUGAUGAAGGCCCUAGGGUUGUAAAGCUCUUUCAGUGGGGACGAUAAUGACGGUACCCACAGAAGAAGCCCCGGCUAACUUCGUGCCAGCAGCCGCGGUAAUACGAAGGGGGCUAGCGUUGUUCGGAAUUACUGGGCGUAAAGCGCACGUAGGCGGAUAUUUAAGUCAGGGGUGAAAUCCCGGGGCUCAACCCCGGAACUGCCUCUGAUACUGGGUAUCUUGAGUGUGGUAGAGGUAAGUGGAAUUGCGAGUGUAGAGGUGAAAUUCGUAGAUAUUCUCAGGAACACCAGUGGCGAAGGCGGUUUACUGGACCACAACUGA
rnacentral:rRNA from 1 species